rnacentral:lncRNA from 1 species
UCUAGGCUUGGUUGAGCCGCGCAGGAAGGUCCGAGGCUGGGGGAGCAGCCGUUGGCUCUGGUGCCCCUGGGGGUGGGAGCACGAGUGGGCAAGGAUGAUGGUGAGGCAGAGGAGGCGGCCCCGAGGGAGCGCCCGGCUGAGAGGCGGGGGGCCGAGGGGCCCGGGGAGCGGGCGUCACCGAGGGCCCUGGAAGCGGCAGGGCUGGGGGAGAGGAGACGCGUGUGUGGAGCAUGGGGACCCCAGCCCAGCUCCCACUUGCAGACCUGGGCCGCGGGCUGCCGGCCGAGUGGCCGGGGGGCCUGGCUGCCCAGGAGGCGGGCCGGGGCCGCGGCCGGGGGCGCGGAGCGGAGUUAGGGUCGCCAGGCCGAGCCGAGGUGGGACGGACCGACGCAGAGAGGAAGGGAAGCCACCUGGCCUGAAGAUCCUGUCUCUAAGAUCCCAUUCUGAGGCUUCGAGGGUCUGGCUUGAGCAGCACAGACAGGGACGUGUCUAACCGGGAUGACCAUGAGGUCUCAUCGCAGUUUGCCACUAACCAGGUCCACGCUGCUUUUAUGAGCUGUAACACUCACCGCGAAGAUCUGCAGCUUCACUCCUGAGCCCAGCGAGACCACGAGCCCACCGGGAGGAACAAACAACUCCAGACGCGCUGCCUUAAGAGCUGUAACACUUGCCGUGAAGGUCUGCAGCUUCACUCCUGAGCCAGCGAGACCACGAACCCACCAGAAGGAAGAAACUCCGAACACAUCUCAACAUCAGAACGGACAGACUCCAGACGCACCACCUUAAGAGCUGUAACACUCACCGCGAGGUUCCGCGGCUUCAUUCUUGAAAGCUAUCAGCUUCCCAGUUUGCACAAUUCAUCAAGAAAUUAUGCGGGGUCACUGGCACAAAUGAUGAGGCAUCUCCUGGAAGCUUAACUUCUUAUCCAUCCCAUCUCUUGGACAGAUGAUGCCAGUUAAUUACUUUGAAUCCAAAAGAGACCUGCCAGCUACAGUCAGCAUCGGUCAACCAUCUGUGAAACUGUGAGCUGACAACUUGUCCCCUCCCGGCGAAGGCCACAACAUCCCAACACCAUUAGUCACCAAGGAAGUCUGGGAGAAGUUUCUACCAACUGUAGCGAAAAAGGUGCAAGGGAGGAAACAUUUUGUUACUGCUGGCCCACUCUUCCCUCCGAAACAGCGCGGCAGCAUCUGGCAGAAAGAAAGUACAAGGGACUUCUAAGUGGGCAAUGCUGCCCCGUGCCCUCCAGACUUCUCAUCCCAGCAGGGCAGCAGCACAUGGCGCCCUGGGACAGGAGGCCUGCCGGGGCGUGGGGGCGGAGGCUGAGCUCCUGGGGGCACCACUUUAUGAGGAACCAUUUAUGGCCAAAACUCUACAGGGGCUUCAGGGACCUGAAUGAAUGCGUCUCUGUAGAGUGAGAGUCCUGGGCAGGAGGAGAAGUUUCCAUAGCUCAGGACCACAUGCUGGAAAUUUGGUCUCUGCAGCUUAAAAUCUGAGAGAAGAUGGUGUCUGCAGCAUUCAAAGGGGGACCAGAGGGACCCUCCACCCCCAGCUCCCCAGCUAUGACAAACAUGAGCUCUGGGUAGAUUCCUAUCCAUUCAAAGAACUGGAAAAGCCAAGCUGGGGCCCAUGAGUCAAGUCUGGAUGUGCGGCUCAGGGCAAGAGGACAGAUGGAUGCCACAGGCCGUCUGUCUAAAUAUUUGCAAGUUAUAAAUUAAACUAACAGGGUGUUAAAUAAAGUAUAUUCUAGCCUCAGCCCCUGACAAAUAUUCCUUUAAAAGGAUAAAAUUUUUUAGAUGUGUAUGAAGCUAUGAUUUGUAGAUAACAGAAAGUUAGCAAAAUGUCAAAGAUCAUACAAUUUCUUUGCUUUUUUUUUUUUGAGAUGGAAUAUCACUCUGUUGCCCCAGUUGGAGUGCAGUGAUGUGAUCUCAGUUCACUGCAGCCUCUGCCUCCCAGGUUCAAGCAAUUCCUCAUAUUGAAGCGAGUAAUAAAAUAAAGAAAUGUGUAAUUUAUAAAUUACUGAAAGUAUUCCAUGAAAUUUAUUUUUCUUAUCUUCCUUUCAGCAAAAUCAAUUAUGUUAUUAUUGUCAAGAUUUAAAAUACAUGUAAGGAUUAAAACAGUCAUAUUCAAAGUACAAAUAUCUUAAUAUUUUAAUCAAAAAUAUUUUUAUGUAAAAAAUUUAAUUUUGUCAGAAUCUCAAACAAUAUUCUUUUCAAAUAUUGAAAAGUAUCUAUUGCUGGGCACAGUGGCUCACGCCUAUAAUCCCAGCACUUUGGGAGGCCAAGGCAGGCAGAUUAUGAGAUCAGGAGUUUGAGACCAGCCUGGCCAAUAUUGUGAAACCCCAUCUCUACUAAAAAUACAAAAAACAAAACAAAACAAAAAAAAAAACUAGCCAGGCAUGGUGGUAUGCCUGUAGUCCCAGCUACUUGGGAAGCUGAGGCAGAAGAAUUGCUUGAACCCGGGAGGUGGAGGCUGUAGUGAGCCAAGAUUGUGCUACUGCACUCCAGCCUGAGCGACAGAGCAAGACUCCAUCUCAAAAAAAAAAAAAUAAGUAUCUAUUAAACCAAUAUGCAACAUACAAAUUGGAAUUAAUCAAAUUUGGGCCAGGCGUGGUGGCUCACACCUGUAAUCCCAGCACUUUGGGAGGCCAAGCCGGGCGGAUCACGAGGUUAGGAGAUCAAGACCAUCCUGGCUAACACGGUGAAACCCCGUCUCUACUAAAAAAUACAAAAAGUUAGCCGGGCAUGGUGGUGGGUGCCUGUAGUCCCAGCUACUCGGGAGGCUAAGGCAGGAGAAUGGCAUGAACCCAGGAGACAGAGCUUGCAGUGAGCCGAGAUUGCGCCAUUGCACUCCAGCCUGGGCAACAGAGUGAGACU